UGGAUUGUGCAACUGCUAAACUGCUUGGGGGAUGGUUUGGCUUGGGGGCCGAAGAAGGACGUGCCAAGCUGCGAUAAGCCUCGGGGAGGCGCAUGGAGCCCUAGAUCCGAGGAUUUCCGAAUAGGACUUCCCGUCGUAAGACACUCCGUAAGGAGAGGGUACCCAGGGAAUUGAAACAUCUUAGUACCUGGAGGAAAAGAAAUCAAUCGAGAUACCGUUAGUAAAGGCGAUCGAAACCGGUAUAAGGCAAACCGAAUGCCCCAUAGUAAUAUCGGGUAUAUGUGGAGUUAGGACCUCCUUCAAUACCUACUCAAUGAAUCCUAAUCUGAACGAAAGCAGAGCCAGAGAAGGUGAUAGCCCUGUUGGAGUAAGUUGAGAGGUUACGAGAGGAGAGUUCCAGAGUAUCGUGCGUCGUUUUUCGCGCGAGAAUAUAGGUGGCACUAACAUCUAACCUUAAAUACAGCCCAAGUCCGAUAGCGAACAAGUACCGUGAGGGAAAACUGAAAAGCAACCCGAAAGGGUAGUGCAAAGAGCCUGAAACCAAGCAGUGAUAAACUUACAAGGCACCAAAGGGAUGAUAUCGUUAACCACGAUGGACCAGUGUUUUGUUGUCCGUGUUGAAGAACGGACCAGGGAGUUUCGACGAAUGGCGAGGUUAAUCUUUUAAAGAGAAGCCGUAGCGAAAGCGAGUAUCCGCACAGCAAUGGAGGGAUAGCGUAAUCUAUGCGUUAGUCAUUCGUGGAAGACCCGAAGCCGGUCGAUCUACGCCUGAGCAGGUUGAAGCCCAGUGAAAACUGGGUGGAGGACCGAACCAGUUCUGAUGUGCAAAUCGUUUGGAUGACUUGGGUGUAGGGGUUAAAGGCCAAUCUAGGCCGGCAAUAGCGGGUUCCCCCCGAUACUACCCGCAGGUAGACUUCGGUGGAGAUGCUCGGCGAGGUAGAGCGACCGAUUAGCAGGUUAGCAGUCGAAAGACUGCGCCAGCUUAUCAAACUCCGAACUUGUCGAGAUCGUAGAUACCGGGUGCUAGGGUACAUGGGAUAAGCUCUGUACCCGUGAAGGGAACAUCCUAGACGGGGGUUAAGGUCCCUAAAACUGACUAAGUGCAAAUUAAAGGGGUUUGUGGCCAAAGACAGUGUGGAGGUUGGCUUAGAAGCAGCCAUCCUUUAAAGAGUGCGUAACAGCUCACUCACCGAGGCUACAUGCCCCGAAGAUGGAAGGGGCUAAAGUCAGUUACCGAGACCUCCGAGCACCGAGAGGUGAUCUGGUAGGGGGGCGUGCCGCAUGGACGGAAGCUUCUUCGAGAGGAGGAGUGGACCGUGUGGUAUCGUGGAUCCUGGUAAAAGUAGCAGAAUAGAAUUGUGAGAAUCAAUUCCGCCGAAAGGGCUAAGGGUUCCUUGGCAAUGUUCGUCAGCCGAGGGUUAGUCGAUCCUAAGGUGGUCCCUAACAGGAAACCACCGAAAGGGAAGCUGGUUAAUAUUCCAGCACCUCGAGCGUUUUGCCAUAUAAUUGGACUUUGGGAUAUUGGAAGUACGGGUGACAACGUAUUUGCAAGUAUAAUCUGGUGGAGAAUCGUAAUGAUGAGAAGCCGGAGAAAGCUUGUGAGUCCCCCUAUGGGGAUUUCUUAGAUUUCUGGAGUCUGUGAAAGAAUUGUAUGGGUCAAGUUCGAGUUCGUACCAAGAACCGACACAGGUGCCCCUGGAUGAGAAGUCCAAGGCGUUUGGGAAUAAUGGACGCGAGGGAACUCGGCCAAAUAGCUCCGUAUCUUAGGUAGAAGGAGUGCCUAUUCCGAGAGGGAAUAGGUCGCAGUGGCAAGGGGACCCCGACUGUUUACCAAAAACACAGAUCGCUGCUAGUUCGUAAGGAUGUGUAUAGCGGUUGAAACCUGCCCAGUGUCGGUACCUGAAAAUCCCGUACAAGGGAAAGAAGGGCCGAUAAACGGCGGGGGUAACUAUGACCCUCUUAAGGUAGCGUAAUACCUAGCCGCUUAAUUGGCGGCUUGCAUGAAGGUUCAACGUGAGUCCCACUGUCCCCGCGUUCAGCCCCGUGAAAUUGAUGCACUGGUGCACAAUCCAGUCUCUCCCACGUGAAAGCGAAGUCCCCGUGGAGCUUUACUGCAGCCUGUAGCUGUAAUACGGUGCUUAAUGCGUAGAGUAGGAAGGAGCUGUCGAUGCCUGGGUUCUGGCUCAGGUGGAGGCGACGAUGAAACACUUCCCUUUGAGUACUGAAUUACUAACCUCGCAAGAGGGACAACUAUUGGUGGGCAGUUUGGGUGGGGCGCCACGCCCCCGAGAAUUUAACAGGGGCCCCCAAAGGUUAGCUCAGGAGGGUCAGUAAUCCUCCGUAGAGUGUAAGGGCAAAAGCUAGCUUGACUGAGUUCCGGACAAUAAGGAACGCAGAUGCGAAAGCAGGGCCUAACGAACCACCCUGUCCCCCUUUAGUGGGGGCGGGUGAUAAGAGAGAAGUUACCCCAGGGAUAACUGAGUUGUCCUCGGCAAGAGUUCAUAUCGACCCGAGGGUUUGCUACUUCGAUGUCGUCUGUUCCUAUCCUGGUGCUGAACAAGGUGCCAAGGGUGGGGCUGUUCGCCCAUUAAAAGGGAUCCUGAGAUGGGUUCACUACGUCGCGAGACAGUAGGGUUGCUUCUCCGUGGGAGUGUUCGAUGUCUGAAGGGAAGGAGCCUUUAGUACGAGAGGAACGGGGGUUCGUGACCUCUGGUUUGCCGGUUGUCUGUCAAGGCAUUUGCCGGGUAGCCACGUCAUACGCGAAUAAAAGCUGAAAGCAUCUAAGCUUGAAGUCGCCCCUGAAAAUAGACAUCGUUAUUAGGUCUCUCCUAGAAGAGGAGAUUGAUAGAACUGGGAUGUAAGUGCCGAGCUUCGGCGAGGCAUUCAGUCUACAGUUACUAAUCGACCGAAUGCACAAUCCA
rnacentral:rRNA from 16 species